rnacentral:lncRNA from 10 species
CCGUGGGAGGGAAGGCACUCUCUGUCAAGCUGCUGUCACCUUACCUGAAGUAAGGAGUCCACGCCUGCAUGUCCGAGGAAAACAGUUUUCUCAAACACAUUAGUUGAAAAACUGAAGACGCUGCCUAAAAUACAAGCUGAGUUAGAGACAGCCCUUGUAAGACUAGAAAAAGAAAUGGAAACUAAGUAACAUGAAUUAACAUAGUCCAGGGUCACAAAGCAACAUGGAACAAGAACCUGGAUCUGAAUUCAGAGGCAGAAUGCUGGGCCUGAGAAUCAGGAGAGUCAAUGGUAUUAGUGCUUGUCCGGAAGCCAUCAUGCUUCAAAACCAAGAAGAGCUGAUUUUCCAGUUGGAGUCUAAAGGUGAGGUGAUGCCGCGCCCUGCUUCGACUCACACUUGGUGUGCUGCACCCACUGUCCUGCACCCACGGUCCGACAAUCCCCAGUGAAAUGAACCCAGUACCUCAGUUGGAAAUGCAGAAAUCAUUUGUCUUCUGUGUGCCUCACGCUGGGAGCUGAAGACUGGAGCUGUUCCUAUUCGGCCAUCUUGGCUAGCCAAAAACUACCGCAAUUUCUUUAUCCAGUCUAUCACUGAUGGACAUUUGGGUUGGUUCCAAGUCUUUGCUAUUGUGAAUAGUGCCACAAUAAACAUAUGUGUGCAUGUGUCUUAA